AUUGAACGCUGGCGGCAUGCUUUACACAUGCAAGUCGAGCGGCAGCGCGGGGGCAACCCUGGCGGCGAGCGGCGAACGGGUGAGUAAUGCAUCGGAACGUAUCCUUGAGUGGGGGAUAACCCAGCGAAAGUUGGGCUAAUACCGCAUGAGCUCUGAGGAGGAAAGCGGGGGACCUGCAAGGGCCUCGCGCUGGAGGAGCGGCCGAUGUCCGAUUAGCUAGUUGGUGGGGUAAAGGCUUACCAAGGCGACGAUCGGUAGCUGGUCUGAGAGGAUGAUCAGCCACACUGGGACUGAGACACGGCCCAGACUCCUACGGGAGGCAGCAGUGGGGAAUUUUGGACAAUGGGGGCAACCCUGAUCCAGCCAUGCCGCGUGAGUGAAGAAGGCCUUCGGGUUGUAAAGCUCUUUCGGACGGAACGAAAUGGGCGGGACUAAUACUCCUGUCCGAUGACGGUACCGUAAGAAGAAGCACCGGCUAACUACGUGC
rnacentral:rRNA from 1 species